AUGCCGCUUAAGAAUAAAAUCUUCGCAUGGUAUCUUCGUCGUGGAGUCCUUCUUACUAAAGAUAACCUUAUUAAGAGGAAUUGACAUGGAAGUCCGCAAUGUGUCUUUUGUCACCAUGAUGAGACAAUAAAACAUUUAUUCUUUCAAUGCAAAUUGGCUCGUUCUAUAUGGUCAGUCAUCCAAAUAGCUUCUGGCUUGUAUCCUCCUUGUAGUGUUGCUAAUGUGUUUGGCAACUGGCUACAUGGGAUUGAUCACAGGUUUAGAACCCUUCUCAGAGUGGGAGCGCUUGCCGUUAUUUGGUCGCUUUGGCUCUGUAGAAAUGAUAAGGUUUUUAACGAUAAAAGUACUUCUCUUAUGCAGGUUAUCUACAGAUGUACCGGGACUCUUCGUUUAUGGUCCUCUCUACAAUGUGUGGAGAAUCGAGACCUGUUUAUGGAGGUGUGUACACGAUUGAAGGCUACGGCGAGGGAUACUUUUACCCAACAUGGGUGGCAGCAUGAUCUUAGGAUUGGCCUCCCCCCGCUUUAG
rnacentral:rRNA from 1 species